GAUCACCAAGAAAGGGAGAGAGAGCGAGGAGAGAAAAAAAUGAACAGGGGAGAAAGGGGAUGUGGUGUGACUUCUUGUCCCAGUACAAACAGUUAGCGUCCGUUACUCUCUGCCCACUUUUCGAUUCAGGUAAUUUUCAUGCCUUUUUUAAAAAAUUAAAAAUUAAAAAAAAAACAUAUUUAACUAUUUCCCAUGCCAAUUUACAAUUAAUUGGGAAAAAAUCUCUUUUGAAAAAUUAAUUUAAAAUAUAUAUUUAAAAAAACGAUCAAUUUCUGUUUUUAUUAAGUGAAAUUCAAUCCUAUAUAUAAAUUAUUGGAUUAAUUAUUGUUAUAUGUGGCUCUUUUCUCGUUUUUACGUCCAAAAAUAGAAGAAAAUCAAUAUGACUUUCUUUAAAAAAGAAAAUCAAAUUUGAAGUUAAAUGGAGAAAAGUCCUCCAAUCGAUUCCAGUUCUACUAAAACUUUAAAUGUUAUCCCUCUAGCUUUAUUUGUUUGGUUUUUAGUUGUUUUUUUUUUUUUCUUUGCCUUUAUUGCAAUUAUUUCUUGAUUCUAUGCGUUUACCGUAAGUUUCUAUGUGUGCUUGUGUUGCUUUUGGUGUCUUCAAUUGAUUUCUCGACCAUGCAUAGCAAUCUGCUUUGGGCUUCUUGUUGGUUGACGGUCGAUGGUACUGGAGGUGUAGAGAAACGAAGCUAUUUCCGGAAACUUCUGAUACGGCUAUUGUAAGCUUCUGGACUAGUUGUCUGGUGUUUGCUAUUGUUUCUUUUUUUUUUUCUUAUCAAAGGAAGGAGUACGAGAAGGGGAUUUAAUCCUGGAAUCUCAAGAUCAACAUGAAUACCCGCUGGCCAUCCAAACUAAGAGGCGGCAGAUUGGUGUUUGCUAUUGUUACCUCCCUUUGUUGUAGACUUUGUACUUUUUAUCUGAUUUUGAGCUUUAAUAAAGUAACUUUGCAGGGUAUCUUAUUGUAUUUUUCUAUUAUUUGUAAGGUUUAUUUUGUAUUCUUUUAGUUUUAAUUUUAU
rnacentral:lncRNA from 1 species